rnacentral:rRNA from 1 species
GACGAACGCUGGCGGCGUGCCUAAUACAUGCAAGUAGAACGCACAGUUUAUACCGUAGCUUGCUACACCAUAGACUGUGAGUUGCGAACGGGUGAGUAACGCGUAGGUGACCUGCCUGGUAGCGGGGGAUAACUAUUGGAAACGAUAGCUAAUACCGCAUAAUAUUAAUUAUUGUAUGAUAAUUAAUUGAAAGGUGCAAUUGCACCACUACCAGAUGGACCUGCGUUGUAUUAGCUAGUAGGUGAGGUAACGGCUCACCUAGGCGACGAUACAUAGCCGACCUGAGAGGGUGAUCGGCCAACCUGGGACUGAGACACGGCCCAGACUUCUAAGGGAGGCAGCAGUAGGGAAUCUUCGGCAAUGGACGAAAGUCUGACCGAGCAACGCCGCGUGAGUGAAGAAGGGUUUCGGAUCGUAAAGCUCUGUUGUAAGAGAAGAACGGGUGUGAGAGUGGAAAGUUCACACUGUGACGGUAGCUUAACAGAAAGGGACGGCUAACUACGUG